ACUCCUACGGGAGGCAGCAGUAGGGAAUCUUCCACAAUGGGCGCAAGCCUGAUGGAGCAACACCGCGUGAGUGAAGAAGGGUUUCGGCUCGUAAAGCUCUGUUGUUAAAGAAGAACACGUAUGAGAGUAACUGUUCAUACGUUGACGGUAUUUAACCAGAAAGUCACGGCUAACUACGUGCCAGCAGCCGCGGUAAUACGUAGGUGGCAAGCGUUAUCCGGAUUUAUUGGGCGUAAAGAGAGUGCAGGCGGUUUUCUAAGUCUGAUGUGAAAGCCUUCGGCUUAACCGGAGAAGUGCAUCGGAAACUGGAUAACUUGAGUGCAGAAGAGGGUAGUGGAACUCCAGGUGUAGCGGUGAAAUGCGUAGAGAUCUGAAGGAAUACCAGUGGCGAAGGCGGCCCCCUGGACAGAUACUGACACUCAGAUGCGAAAGCUGGGGAGCAAACAGGAUUAGAUACCCUGGUAGGAUAGCG
rnacentral:rRNA from 1 species